CUUAAUUCCGUUUAGUCCGAUUCCACCGGUCCAAACACUUUGAUGCUAAUUCGCUUAAACUUUGAAAAAAUAUUCAAUUAAAAUUUAAAUUGUUACAUUAUUGAUAAUUAGAGAUGAGAUUUCAUCAUGAACACCUCCCUCGCCGGCAACGCGGUUUCCGACCAAUCCCACAACGGGGUUCCGAUCGUCACCUUCGUCUUCUCAUGCGCACCACCCUCAUCUCCGCCAUCCGGUCGAAAUCUUGUUCUAUCUCAUCUCUCGUAGAUUUCAGAGAUGGAAGAAUCCCAAAUUGUGACACAUUAUGCAUGCAAUUGCGAUGUUGAAGAAAUGCUUGGUUAAAGUAGCGAGAGAUGAAGAAGAAAAUAGGUGAGCGUUGUCAUGGAGCAAGUGAUGCACCUUCUUCAUACAUGUGAUUUACGUGUAGAAGAUGCCAACUUCAUCAAUUUUGAUAGGAAUACAAUGAACAAGCUGUUGCAAGAGUGUUGUCAAUAGCACUAGAGUGGCACUACAGCGAUGUAGCGGAGAAGCACCUGGCAGCUACAAGACAUGUAGAAGAGCAUCUUCAAUGGAAAAUCCCAUUUUGGCUACUUUGGUGUGUCCCAUUUGUACGCAUCACUUGUUUUGAACUUUACUAAAUGAGUUCCACUUAUAGCCAUAUAUCAUCACAUUUCAAUAUUUUAAUCUUAAAAAUGCGUGGGUUCCGCGUAGAGAGAGGGCUUAGUAAAGCCACUCUUCUUAAUAGGUACUCUCUUAAUUUGCUCCUCAAUGAAAAUACCAAUUUGGUACCAUCGAGGAUGCUCUUAGUGUAGCGGCCAUAGUGGUUGUUAUAGAGGUCAAGAUAGCUGAUGUUGCAUGCUCAAUAGCGCCGCAUCCCUUAAUGAGAUUGGAAGUUUAAAAAAAAUUCCUUAAAAUUUAAACAGUAGAAUUUUUAGAUCGAGUUACUUUUGGAAUUUUGCAAUUAAAAAACAUCAUAACAGCAUUUGGGCUUUUCCUCUCACUCGGCCCAUUCAUGCUAUCAUAGUCACCCUCUCGCAGAUUAGUCAUAGUUAGUUGUUGAGUUUUUAUGUAUGUAGUAAAAGUUAUAUCAUAUAAAUUUGCAUAAAAAUUGCAAAAUAGAAGCCAUUCUGCUAUCCAUAAUUGAUUACAAUGUGGACAUGGUAUUCCUGUUUUUGUGCAAUGGUUAAAGAAGAAAACUAGGGGAAUAAGCCACUGUUUACCUUUUCUUUUAUAGGCAAAUGUUAGUUGUUAUUUUGUUAGCGGGAGGAAGAAUUUGCUAUCGGUCGGGGUCGAACCCUAGAUAUCCUUCUUAAUACUUUUUCCGUGACCUUAUUUGUGUUUAUUUUUAUAUGAAUGGGUUAUUAAAUUCCUAUGAUUAGGAGUCAAAUUUGAAGUUUGCGUCUCAGUGAUGGGUUGCACAUUAGUUUUGUGUGACAUGUCUUACUAGAAUGAAAUUUUAAUGUGAGAAUGAAAGGAACAGUUAUCAAUCCUUGGAUCAAAAUAGAUAUUUUAGAUUAAAAAACUCAUUUUAAAUAACACCUGUGUCUCUCUGGUUAACCAAAAUAUUUAAUGCUUAAUUUGCUGCUGCAUCUAUCACAGAGUAAUUGUCUCUUAAUGUAAGGACAAGGCUACUUCAUUAGAAACUCUUAUUUUUCCUUCCUCCCAUAUAUAUUGUGGCUACGAGGAUUCAUAAGUACAUUAUCUUUAUAGGUGGUGGGCCUUUAGAGAACCUCUCAGUUUUGACAAUAUAUGGUGCUCUGAUAAACUGACUGCUUUUUUGUUUCCCUUGAGGAAAUUGUGAAGAAUAAAUAAGAAUCACGAGCAUGUUAAUUACUUUUUGAUGAGUAGGAAUCAAACUCAGAACCAAAGUUUACAACAGUAAAUCACACUGCGCACCAACCACUUGCGCUAGACCCGCAUAUUUCAAGAUUAUUACUACAACAGAAGCAGUCUAUUAUCAAUUUACUUUAUCCUUUGGAAAGAAUGCAUUCACACUUAGCCACAGUUUCAAAUGAUGUCUUUUUUUUUUACAGGUUAGUAUUUUAUUAUCAUCUAUUAUAGUUGUAAAUUUUGGUCUUCAAAAUAUUAUUAAUUACUUGUGCUUUUAUAUUUCAUUCAUGAAACAAAGUUAAAGCUGAUUAGCA